UGUCGGUGCAGACAGAUACGCGGUGGCCUCGUGGAAAGAAGAACGACGUAAACAGACGUGGAGGACGAGGAAGGACGACGGGAUGUAGGUGUCGGGUUGGCCCCGCAGCGAAGCGGAGGGUGCGCAAGGGACCGUAUCUCGUGCAGAAUCCUACUCCUUUUCGUGGAGGGGCUCCGGGAAUACGCGGCCGAAGCUGGUGGUCGAUACGCGGGUCAGCGGCAUGCUUCACCGACAACGCCAAUGAGGCGGUUUGCGAAAUCCUCCUCUCCAGCUAGUACAAUCCGGCUACGAAGUAUUCCGCGUUUCCGACACUCGAAGAUCCUCCAAUUGCGGCGGCUAAGUGCUCUGUAAUGACCGUUCCUAAUGUCCCACUCGAGAAGACGACGACUCGCCCGAAUUAAAUGGUCGAUAUGAUCGACGCUGGGAGCACAUGUCCGCGGUCUGCAUAUCGAGCAACGUUCUAUCGACUCGACACUUAGCUCGGAGAGCAAUGGCAGUCCUUCGCGACGCUCAUCUUCGAGAGAAGCUUAGAUAGGGUGUAAAUGACCCAAGAAUAAUUAUGUCCAAACGUCAAGAUUACAGGAAAUCGAAACAUUGUUCAACAGCGGCAGUCGAGAUACGGGAAAUUUAGAAACAUCACGAUAUGGACAUUGCUUAAUGAUCUUGGAAAUGCAUACGUCGAUGGUACAUAACCGAAUUGGCUGACGAAUGAUCGAGACAAAAUUAGAAUUGAAGAGAAUUUUGAUUAGGAAAGUGUAAUA